rnacentral:rRNA from 1 species
AACGAACGCUGGCGGCAUGCCUAACACAUGCAAGUCGAACGAGACCUUCGGGUCUAGUGGCGCACGGGUGCGUAACGCGUGGGAACCUGCCCUUAGGUUCGGAAUAACUCCCCGAAAGGGGUGCUAAUACCGGAUAAUGUCUUCGGACCAAAGAUUUAUCGCCUUUGGAUGGGCCCGCGUUGGAUUAGCUAGUUGGUAGGGUAAAAGCCUACCAAGGCGACGAUCCAUAGCUGGUCUGAGAGGAUGAUCAGCCACACUGGGACUGAGACACGGCCCAGACUCCUACGGGAGGCAGCAGUGGGGAAUAUUGGACAAUGGGCGAAAGCCUGAUCCAGCAAUGCCGCGUGAGUGAUGAAGCCUUAGGGUUGUAAAGCUCUUUUACCCGGGAUGAUAAUGACAGUACCGGGAGAAUAAGCUCCGGCUAACUCCGUG